GCUUUGCUCGGUUUUUUACUAUCCUUUACUUUACCCAAAUCAAGUCCUUCUGAUGAUGAUAUGGAUACAAUGGAUUCGUUGGAUUGGGUGCGCUUAAUUGACGGCUUCUGAACCUCUUGUGCACUUUUAUUUGAUAGGAUAGAGGAAAGGAUUUACUCACGUAAACUCCUGGUUCAUUUCGUCGGCUACAACUGACAGCGGCUAUUGUGAUGAUUGAAAAAAUGGCCAAGACUGAUGCAUAAUAAUACGGAUCGGAAAAUGUUGCUAUAAUUGCUUCUGCAAACUUGGUUGAAUUGUCUUUUCCCUCUGAAACCGGUACUUUCUCGGUAAAAUUGGUAGCGUUUGGUGCUGGUGUGGUUACAUUUAUUUUUGGUAAUAAUGUCGUCAAUACUGGUCGGGAUGUAACGUUUCCAGUACGGUUUACUGGCGGUGUGGGGGUGGUUAGAUUCAAUGUAUUUGUUACAUUUGUUAUAUUUGUUACACUUGCUACAGUUGUUACAGUCGUUACAUUUGUUCCAUUUGUUCCAUUCGUCUGUGAGACUCCUGGUGAUGGUGUAAAAACAAAUAUGAAAAAAUAGAAAGGUAUAAAAUUAGUAAACAUUACUAAUUUGAUUACUAUAGCAGACUAAUCAGCUCUUUGAUAAUCAAUAUGAUGAUAUGAAUGCUAAUUAGGAUGAUGGGAUGCUAAGAUGGAAGGAUAAUAGCAAUUGAACAGCAUCUGAAUAAGAUUUGUUUUCAUAUUUUCAUAACAAAUGAUGACCAGUUCUUCAGGCCUCGGCUCAAAUUCACUAUCCAUUGCAAAAUCCUUGGCGAAAUCAUAUUUAACAGCUAAAUUUGAAUCACUUGACAAUAAUUAGUCUAUUAAAUUGUCAAAUUGUGUUUAACAUCAAUAAUUAAUACAUUUUUUAACCAAGUUACACCGAGUAAACUCACUUGACUUCAUAAGUAACCUUCAUGAAACUUUAACCUUAACCUUUUGUCAACCAAAAUUGGCAUUCAUCACAUGCUAACAAUUAAAACCAUAACUCAAUAAUCAUCCCAUUUCUAAACAAUUUCACAAUUUAAGUCGCAAAGGAUAAUACAGAUACUUAUCGAUUUACAAUUAACAUUUAUCAAUCCAUUGAUAAAGCAAUUUAAAAUUGCAAAUAUUUUCAUUUCCAUAGGCAAAUGAUUCAGUUUACAUUUGUGAGUAAAAAAGGCUUCGUGUAUAUUCCUGAUUAACCAGUCAUUUAUUCAUUUCAUUAUCAUUAUAAUUGUACCCUGACUAUUUAUUAAUUUAGUAUGCAGUUAUUAGUAGCUGCUUGAUUAACUUGAAACAUAUUAAUAAAUAAGCUUAUGCUCACAGUAA